rnacentral:rRNA from 1 species
AUAGUACUAAUUUACUAGAGUUACUUGUGAGGGGGCAUAAAGGUACUGUCGGUGUAGAGAUAAAAUUCUGUGAUACCCUUUUUUUUACAAAAACUAAUGGCACGAAUUUAGGCGAAAGCAUCCCCUUAUGUGAUAACUGACGUUGAGGGACGAAGGCUUGGUGUAGCGAACAGGAUUAGAUACCCCAAUAGUCCAAGCAGAAAAUGAUGAGUGUCAUAGAUUAGAUUUUUUUUUUAUUCUAUAAAUGAAAAUGUAAGCACUCCACCUUAAGAGUAAUUUGGCAACAUUGGAACUGAAAUCAUUAGACCGUUUCUGAAACCAGUAGUGAAGUAUGUUGUUCA